ACAUCAGCUGUUCCCUGUGUGAUGGUGCCAAUCCCUUACCAACUCUUUUUGGGAAAACUAUGCAGCGAGGAAAAGAAAAAAGCUCCAGCUUCCAUGAGAAGGUUCAACAUGGGAAAGUCCUGCACCUUGGGAGGAACAACUCCCUGCAUCAGUAUGGGCUGGGGAUUGACCUACUGGAAAGCAGCUCUGCAGAGAGAGACCUGGGAGUACUGGUCGAUCAUAAACUAACCAUGAGCCAGCAAUGUGUCCUCAUGGUCAAGAAGGCCGAUGACAUCCUGAGGUGCAUCAAGAAAAGCGUUCUCAGCAGAUUGAGAGCUUUGUGGAAGAAAGGAAGAAAGAAUCUAUCCCGUAAAGAACAACACAACAGUUUGCAAACUGAACUCUCUGAUGUAUGCAAGUGUGUCUGCUGGCCUGCAGAUGCAGACACAUCAAAACUGAAGUCAACCUUAUGAGAA